CGGACGGGUGAGUAACGCGUGGAUAACCUGCCUCACACUGGGGGAUAACAGUUAGAAAUGGCUGCUAAUACCGCAUAAGCGCACAGUACCGCAUGGUACGGUGUGAAAAACUCCGGUGGUGUGAGAUGGAUCCGCGUCUGAUUAGUUAGUUGGCGGGGUAACGGCCCACCAAGACAGCGAUCAGUAGCCGACCUGAGAGGGUGACCGGCCACAUUGGGACUGAGACACGGCCCAA
rnacentral:rRNA from 1 species